rnacentral:rRNA from 1 species
GACGAACGCUGGCGGCGUGCUUAACACAUGCAAGUCGAACGGAAAGGCCCUGCUUUUGUGGGGUGCUCGAGUGGCGAACGGGUGAGUAACACGUGAGUAACCUGCCCUUGACUUUGGGAUAACUUCAGGAAACUGGGGCUAAUACCGGAUAGGAGCUCCUGCUGCAUGGUGGGGGUUGGAAAGUUUCGGCGGGUGGGGAUGGACUCGCGGCUUAUCAGCUUGUUGGUGGGGUAGUGGCUUACCAAGGCUUUGACGGGUAGCCGGCCUGAGAGGGUGACCGGCCACAUUGGGACUGAGAUACGGCCCAGACUCCUACGGGAGGCAGCAGUGGGGAAUAUUGCACAAUGGGCGGAAGCCUGAUGCAGCAACGCCGCGUGCGGGAUGACGGCCUUCGGGUUGUAAACCGCUUUCGCCUGUGACGAAGCGUGAGUGACGGUAAUGGGUACAGAAGCACCGGCUAACUACGUG